rnacentral:tRNA from 1 species
AACGAUAUAGCUCAGUUGGCAGAGCAAUGAAAAGAUUCGGAGUAACCACAGUAAUAUGAAUUAAGUAUGGGGAUCUGAACAUUUGCAUAGGUCGGCGGUUCGAGUCCGCCUGUCGUUC